GAGAAGCUUGCUUUUCUGAUGACGACCGGCGCACGGGUGAGUAACGCGUAUGCAACCUACCUCUUACUGAAGGAUAGCCCGGAGAAAUCCGGAUUAAUACUUCAUAGUAUGUAUCAUUCGCAUGUUUGAUACAUUAAAGGUUACGGUAAGAGAUGGGCAUGCGUCCUAUUAGCUAGAUGGUAAGGUAACGGCUUACCAUGGCUACGAUAGGUAGGGGGCCUGAGAGGGUGACCCCCCACACUGGUACUGAGACACGGACCAGACUCCUACGGGAGGCAGCAGUGAGGAAUAUUGGACAAUGGGCGCAAGCCUGGUCCAGCCAUGCCGCGUGCAGGAAGAAUGCCCUAUGGGUUGUAAACUGCUUUUAUUUGGGAAUAAACCCCUCUACGUGUAGAGGGCUGAAUGUACCAAACGAAUAAGCACCGGCUAACUCCGUGCCAGCAGCCGCGGUAAUACGGAGGGUGCAAGCGUUAUCCGGAAUCAUUGGGUUUAAAGGGUCCGCUGGCGGAAUUAUAAGUCAGUGGUGAAAUCCCGUAGCUUAACUACGGAACUGCCAUUGAUACUGUAGUUCUUGAAUUCGGUCGAAGUGGGCGGAAUAUGUCAUGUAGCGGUGAAAUGCAUAGAUAUGACAUAGAACACCUAUAGCGAAGGCAGCUCACUAGGCCUGAAUUGACGCUCA
rnacentral:rRNA from 1 species